rnacentral:rRNA from 1 species
AGUGAACGCUGGCGGUAGGCCUAACACAUGCAAGUCGAACGGCAGCACAGAGGAGCUUGCUCCUUGGGUGGCGAGUGGCGGACGGGUGAGGAAUACAUCGGAAUCUACUCUGUCGUGGGGGAUAACGUAGGGAAACUUACGCUAAUACCGCAUACGACCUACGGGUGAAAGCAGGGGACCUUCGGGCCUUGCGCGAUUGAAUGGGCCGAUGUCGGAUUAGCUAGUUGGCGGGGUAAAGGCACACCAAGGCGACGAUCCGUAGCUGGUCUGAGAGGAUGUGCAGCCACACUGCAACUGAGACACGGUCCAGACUCCUACGGGAGGCAGCAGUGGGGAAUAUUGGACAAUGGGCGCAAGCCUGAUCCAGCCAUACCGCGUGGGUGAAGAAGGCCUUCGGGUUGUAAAGCCCUUUUGUUGGGAAAGAAAUCCAGCUGGCUAAUACCCGGUUGGGAUGACGGUACCCAAAGAAUAAGCACCGGCUAACUUCGUGCCAGCAGCCGCCGCCG